CCUACGGGUGGCAGCAGUGAGGAAUAUUGGUCAAUGGGCGCGAGCCUGAUCCAGCCAAUUAGCGUGAAGGAUGACUGCCCUACGGGUUGUAAACUUCUUUUAUAAAGGAAUAAAGUGAGGCACGUGUGCCUUUUUGUAUGUACUUUAUGAAUAAGGAUCGGCUAACUCCGUGCCAGCAGCCGCGGUAAUAAGGAGGAUCCGAGCGUUAUCCGGAUUUAAUGGGUUUAAAGGGAGCCUAGGUGGGUUGUGAAGUCCGUUGUGAAAGUUUGGGGGUUAACCGUAAAAUUGCAAUUGAUCCUGGCAGGCGUGGGGACAGGUGAGGUAGGCGGAAUUCGUGGGUGAGCGGUGAAAUGCUUA
rnacentral:rRNA from 1 species